GAUGAACGCUGGCGGCGUGCCUAAUACAUGCAAGUCGAGCGAACAGACGAGGAGUUUGCUCCUCUGACGUUAGCGGCGGACGGGUGAGUAACACGUGUAUAACCUACCUAUAAGACUGGGAUAACUUCGGGAAACCGGCGCUAAUACCGGAUAAUAUAUUGAACCGCAUGGUUCAAUAGGGAAAGACGGUUUUGCUGUCACUUAUAGAUGGAUCCGCGCCGCAUUAUCUAGUUGGUACGGUAACGGCUUACCAAGGCAACGAUGCGUAGCCGACCUCCGAGGGUGCUCGGUCACACUGGAGCUGAGACACGGCCCAGACUCCUGCGGUAGGCCGCAGUAGGGAAUCUUCCGCACUGGGCGAAAGGCUGACGGGGCCAGGCCGAGUGAGUGAUGAAGGUCUUGGGAUCGUGAACCCCUGUUAUUAGGGGCUAACAAAUGUGUAAGUAACCAUGCGCGUAUUGACGGUAGCCACUCAGCAAGACGCGGAUAACUACGUG
rnacentral:rRNA from 1 species